rnacentral:rRNA from 1 species
UACGUAGGGUGCAAGCGUUGUCCGGAAUUAUUGGGCGUAAAGAGCUCGUAGGCGGUCUGUAGCGUCGGCUGUGAAAUCCCGAGGCUCAACCUCGGGUCUGCAGUCGAUACGGGCAAACUAGAGUAUUGCAGGGGAGACUGGAAUUCCUGGUGUAGCGGUGAAAUGCGCAGAUAUCAGGAGGAACACCGGUGGCGAAGGCGGGUCUCUGGGCAAUAACUGACGCUGAGGAGCGAAAGCGUGGGGAGCGAACAGG